rnacentral:rRNA from 1 species
AACGAACGCUGGCGGCAGGCUUAACACAUGCAAGUCGAACGCCCCGCAAGGGGAGUGGCAGACGGGUGAGUAACGCGUGGGAACAUACCCUUUUCUACGGAAUAGCUCUGGGAAACUGGAAUUAAUACCGUAUACGCCCUACGGGGGAAAGAUUUAUCGGGGAAGGAUUGGCCCGCGUUGGAUUAGCUAGUUGGUGGGGUAAAGGCCUACCAAGGCGACGAUCCAUAGCUGGUCUGAGAGGAUGAUCAGCCACAUUGGGACUGAGACACGGCCCAAACUCCCACGGGGGGCAGGAGUGGGGAAUAUGGGACAAUGGGCGCAAGCCUGAUCCAGCCAUGCCGGGGGAGUGAUGAAGGCCUUAGGGUUGAAAAGCUCUUUCACCGAUGAAGAAAAUGACGGUAGUGGGAGAAGAAGCCCCGGCUAACUGCGU